rnacentral:rRNA from 1 species
GACGAACGCUGGCGGCGUGCUUAACACAUGCAAGUCGAACGGAAAGGCCCUGCUUUUGUGGGGUGCUCGAGUGGCGAACGGGUGAGUAACACGUGAGUAACCUGCCCUUGACUUUGGGAUAACUUCAGGAAACUGGGGCUAAUACCGUAUAGGAGCUCCUGCUGCAUGGUGGGGGGUGGAAAGUUUCGGCGGUUGGGGAUGGACUCGCGGCUUAUCAGCUUGUUGGUUGGGUAGUGGCUUACCAAGGCUUUGACGGGUAGCCGGCCUGAGAGGGUGACCGGCCACAUUGGGCCUGAGAUACGGCCCAGACUGCAACGGGAGGCAGCAGUGGGAAAUAUUGCACAAUGGGAGGACGCCUGAUGCAGCAACGCCGCGUUCGGGAUGACGGCCUUCGGGUUGUAAACCGCUUUAGCCUGUUACGAAGCGUGAGUGACGGUAAUGGGUAAAGAAGCACCGGCUAACUACGUG